rnacentral:lncRNA from 1 species
UCUGUUCUCUGGGAGGCAGUUUAAAUACCCUGUUAGAGUGAUAAUGAGCAUUUCUGGGGGAGGGGUCAUCAUUUGUCAGGCUUUCUGAGAUGCAGGAGGAUUUGGGGGCAGAUGUGGGAGGGGGCUUGGGUGGAACCUCCACCAUAACAUCCCAGACUUUUUGGGUAUAUGGAUGCCAGGGGCUGGGGCAGAUCUUUCACCAUAACAGCUUUGUUUUGUUUGUUUUUAAACAUCUACUUAUUUACUUGAGAGCACGUUUGGAGCAGAGGAGAGAUUACUUGUAAAUUCUUGGCUGAAGUCAGUUCCUUCUCUAUUAGUGAAAGGCAGUUCUCUUCCACGAGUCCAGCCUGGCAAUCAAUGAGGUGACAUGUCACAGCCAGAUCGCCCUCAAACCUAUCUCAACUCUGCAACCUGGGCUCCUCCCUGUCUUACAGCAGAUAGAGAGGACCCUAUCAAACCAAAGAUCUGAGCCUGUUGGGCUUGAAGUCAGACUCUGAAGUGCCUGUCCUGUGCCUACCCCCCUGCAUUUGGGCCAUGAGCAGCAAAGCAUACAAGACCCCUGGGUCUUGGUCACAGUUCGAAUUUUCAUUCUUAGCACUGCUACAGUAAGGACAUUCAGACACUUCUGAAAUGAUGGCUCAUUUGAAAUUAACCUUUUCCAGAACUGAAAGAUUUACAAAAACUAUACAAACACAGGAACAAGGUGGACAACAAGCCCAAUCUAAAAGCCAGGAAAAAGAAAGAAAGAAAAAGAAAGAAAGAAAGAAAGAAAGAAAGAAGAGAAAGAAAGAGAGGAAACUGCACCAUUUGUCAGAUUCAACCAUUGAGGGACAUCACAUUGUGGCCCAUUACGAUGCUAUGUACUUGAAGGCCAAUUAGAAGUCAUUAGAGUUAUGAGAAGGUGCUAAUAAAAUAGGCUUGUGCAAAAUAAUGCAUUACUUACUGAGGCCUGAGUUAAACUCAUGGAUGUCUUGUGGAAAUUGAAAAUCAUACUUGAUUGCUUCUACAAAUAUUUUAUUACAUUUUGUUACAUCUUUUGUGAUGAGUGUGUGUACCAUAGCACUAAUGUGGAAGUCAAAGGACAGAUUGUGGGAAUUGGUUCUCUACUUCUGCCAUGUGGGUUGAUAGGAUGGAAUUUACAUCAUCAGGCUAGAAGAUGGCAGGAGCCUUCAUCUGCUGAGCCAACUCAGCAGCUCCAUACGCAAUGCAAAAUUCACAUGAAGUAAUGUUCCUGUGAAUUUCAGACAAAUGAUCUUCCAGAUGUUUCUCUGUGUAGCUCUGGUUGUCCUGGAACUAGCUCUGUAGACCAUGCUGGCUUUGAACUCCGAGACCUACUUGUCUCUGCCUCUUGAGUACUGGGAUUAAGGGCCUGUGCUACCACCUGAAAUAUUUAAACUCAUAACCCAUUAUCUGCUAGGCAAGUGCUGUACCAGAGCUAUAGUCUCAACCUUUUUUAUUCAUUUACUUUUGUUUAGAUUUUAGUUUUUAUUUUCUAUGUGAGAAGCUUAAGGUUUAUAAAUUUUAUCCUGCUCUAAUUUUUGUUUAGAUUUUAGUUUUUACUGUUUUAAAUUAUGUAUGUGUGGGCUGAAGAGAUGGCUCAGAAGUUAAAAAGCACUGACUGCUCUUCCAGAGAACCCAGGUUCAAUUCCCAGCACCCACAUGGCAGCUCAUGUGUGUAACUCCAAGAGCUGACACCCUCACAUAGACAUACAUGCAGGCAAAACACCAAUGCAUAUAGAAUAAAAAUAAAUUAAAAAAAAUUUUGUGUGUAGACACCUGGAGCGGCCAGAGACAUCAGAUCUCUUGUAUCUGGAGUUACCAGUUGUAAGCCACAUGUCAUGAGUGUUAGGAACUGAAAUUGGGGGUGGUGGUAGUGCAUGCCUUUAAUCCCAGGCCAGCAUGGUCUACAAAGUGAGUUCCAGGACAGCCUGGUCUACACAGAGAAACCAUGUCUUGAAAAACAAAAACAAAAAGCAAAACAAGCAAACAAAAAACUUUGGGGGCUGGAGAGAUGGCUUAGAGGUUAAGAGUACUAGCUGCUAUUCUAGAGGACCCAGGUUGAAUUCCCAGCACCCACAUGGUAGCUCAGAAUUGUCUUUAACUGCAGUUGAUCCCACACUGUCACACAGACAUAUAUGCUGGCAAAACACCAAUGCACAUGUAAUUAAAAAUAAAUAUUAAAAAACAAGAAAGAGUUGGGCGUUGGUGGCACACACCUUUAAUCCCAACACUUGGGAGGCAGAAGCAGGUGGAUCUCUGUGAGUUCAAGGCCAGCCUGGUCUACAAGCGCUAGUUACAGGACAGCCUCCAAAGCCACAGAGAAAACCUGUAUCGAAAAAAAAAAAAAAAGAAAGAAAUUGAAAUUGAGUCAUUUGUAGUGUGUGUUCUUAUUAAUCCCUGGAGGCAUCUCUCUAAUCCCUUGUUUGUUUCUUUUGAGACAGGGUUUCUCUAUGUAUUCCACAAUCCCCUGGAAUGCACUAUGUAGCUAAUAAUGCUCUUAAGUUCACGUCCUCCUACUUUAGUUUCUUCGUUUCCUUUUUUAAUUUUUUUUUUUUUGAGACAGGUUUUCUCUUUGUAGCCCUGCUGUCCUGGAACUUGCUCUGUACACCAAGCUGGCCUUAAACUCAUAUAUCCACUUGCCUCUGCCUCACAAAUUCUGGGAUUAAGGCAGGUAGCACCACCACUUGGCUUGUUUCCUUAUUUUUAAUGUGCUUACCAAUUUUCCCAAAGCUGCCUUGCUUCUGUCCAAUCCAUAGCUGUUUCCAUAUUUCAAUAUUAUAUAGUUUUUAUGUUCUAUGUGAGAAGCUUAAGGUUUAUAAAUUUUAUCCUGCUCAAGAAACCUUUAUAGUCAUUCAUUGUAAAAAUCUUAAUCUAGGACUCUGGAGGCAGCUCAAUUGGUAGAGCACUUGCCUGGCAUGUGCGAGAGCCUGGGUUCCACCCCCAGAAACCAAGGGUGAUAGAGCAUUAUCUGUAAUCCCAGCUUGCCAGUGGUAAAAGUGGGAGGUUCAGAAGUUCAAACUUAUCGUUGGCCAUACCGUAAGUUCAAGAUGAGCCCAGGACACACCAGACCCUGUCUCAAAAGAAAAAAAGAAAAGAAAAGAAAAGAAAAAAGAAGAAAAAGAAAGAAAGGAAGGAAAGAAAGAAAGAAAAAAAGUUGUAUCUGUGUAAUUACAACUUGACUUGUAAAAAUUUAAGCUAUUCCUGAACUCGAAGCAAUUUCGUCAACACACACUGGGCGAUAAGGUAAUUUCCUGAAAUGCAGUGUUUUGCUGUUCUAUGCACAGAGGCUGAGUAGCUUUCCAGCGUCUGCCCACACACAAUAUGCUUAUCUGCCAUCAAGAGACAUUUGCUUCCACGUUCUCGCUACGGCAAUCCUAAUGGACACGAGGUGGUGGCAUCUCAAUGUGACUUGGGCUAUAGUCCUUUAAAGGUUAGCAGUUCUGAGCGUUAAUGAGCUAAUUACUCAUGUGUGUGUCUUCUUUGCCAAAAUGACAAAACUCUUGCCUGUUUGUGAUUGAAUUGUUAUUAUAGGUGUUUGUAAGAUUUAUAUUUUGAAACCCUAAUCCCUUGUGUGACUCUUUCUGUAGAUGGGUUUAUAAGUAAUUAAGGCUAAUGAAGCCACAAGGUAGCUGAAGGGACUAGUGUUCUUACAGGAAGACAGAGAGUGCUCUCUUCCUCUGUCUUCUUCCCCUCCUCCUUCUGAGUACAAAUGAAGGGUCAUGUGAGGACACAGGGAGCAGGCAGCUGUCCGAAAGCCAGGAGAGAGAGAGAGAGAGGGAGGGAGGGAGGAAGGGAGAGAGAAAGAGAGAGGCCACCAGAAACCAAACUUGUAAAACUUAAUUCUGGAUUUCUAGCCACUAAAACUAAGAACACAAAUUUCUGUUGUGUUUAAGUCAUCUAUCUGUCCGUGGUAUUUUGUUAUGGUGAACAUAAGCAGACUAACAUAUUCAUAAGAGAGAAAAAAUUAUGAAAAACUAAUCCACACAAACCCUUUUGAUCUGAGGAAAUUACUAUUAAGACUAGAAAAAGGUGUUCUGGUUGGUGGCACAUGCCUUUAAUCCCAGCACUUUGGAGGCAGAGGCAGGCAUAUUUCUGUGUGUUCAGGGCAGACUGGUCUACUUGGUGAGUUCCAGGCCAGCCAGUUAUGUAUAGUGAGACCCUGUCUAAAAACAAACUAACAAGAAUAGAAAAGGCUGGGUAUAAUAGCUUAUACCUAUAUGUCUUUGGACUCAAGAGGCUGAAGUGGGAGUAUAGUAAGUUUGGUAUCAGAGAAAACAGUGAGAUUCAAGGACGUCUAUGAAGAAAAAUAAAGGUGAUUCUCUCCCCACCACACAGUGGAGGCACCCUCCUGGACCCCAGAUUAGGCACAAACCACACACAAAUACCUGUUUCCCAGAGACAGCCUUUAUUAAGGAGAUGGGAAGAGUUAAAGUGGUUGCUUUCUGACUCAGGCAGAAAAGCAAAACAAAUGAUCUUGCAGGUAUAUAUUUUUUUUUUCCAGACAGGGUUUCUCUGUGUAGCUUUGGAGCUUAUCCUGGCCCUCGCUCUGGAGACCAGGCUGGCCUCAAACUCAGAGAUCCGCCUGCCUCUGCCUCCUGAGUGCUGGGAUUAAAGGCGUGCCCCACCAACACCCGGCGCAGGCAUAAUUUUUAACAAACUUUUAAAAAAAGAUUUUAUUUAUUUAUUAUGUAUACAACAUUCUCCUUCCAUGUAUAUCUGCACACCAUAAGAGGGCACCAGAUCUCAUAAUGGAUGGUGUAAGCCACCAUGAGGUUGCUGGGAAUUGAACUCAGUAUCUCUGGAAGAGCAGUUGGUGCUCUUAACCUCUGAGCUAUCUCUCCAGCCCCCCCAAACAUUUUUUAAAUUUAUUUUUAUUUAUGUGUGUGUCCCACAGAGGCUGGAAGAGGGCACCAGAUCACCUGGAGCUGGAAUUACAGACAGUUGUGAACUGCCAUGUGGGUGCUGGUAAUUGAACCCUGGUGCUCUGGAAGAGUAGCCAUUGCUCUUAACUGCUGAGCCAUCAUCUCGCCAGCCCUGCAGGUGUAAUUUUUAAGAAGAGAAAAAACCAGGAAGUCUGUGUUAGAAAUCUGUGCUGUGGUGUGUUUUGAUUGGGCUUUUGAUGGCUGGACUUUAAUACUUUGAUAGAUGGACCUUGGUAGUCAGUCUGAGGAGAAGAAGUGGCAGCUAGCUUUGGGAAUGUAAUCUAACAGUUUUUUUUUUUUUUUCUUUUGCAAGGCAGAGGGAAUAGGAGAGAAAAGCAGGACUUGCCAGAAUCAUGCUUGCUCUGCUAGAGCUGGCCAGAAUCCCUUCAACAAACAAACAAACAAACAAACAAAAAACAAAUAAACAAAAAAAAUGUGAGAAAACAGUCACAAAUCCCCAAAGGAAUAUUUUAUAGAAUACAGAACACUUUAAAUCAGUAAUAAAUAUAGGGGAGGGGGGAAGAGAGUUGAAUGGGCAUUUCUCCCAAGCCAAAAAAAAAAAAAAAAAAAGCUCAUUAUUAAACAUUAGAAGGCAAAUUUAAACCAAAUUGAAAAACUGCUACAAGCCUAUUGUAAUGGAUCAAAUGUAAAAGGAAGUAAUAAUGAUGUUAUUGAGUGCAAGUAAAAAUGUAGGACUUGGGUCAGCAAGAUGGCUUAAAAGGUGCUUGCCGAGCAACCUGAGUUUGAUCUCGGGAACCCAUGGUGGCGAGAACCUACCCUAAAAGUUGUUCUCUGACCUCUACAAGCCUGUAUGUGUGCACCCAAGCACACACACACACACACACACACACACACACACACACUUAAUAGUAAUAAUAAAAUUAAAGUUAACAAAAAAGAUGCAGAGUUUAGCUGGGUAUACCAGCAUAUACCUAUAAUUACAGCUCUUGGGAGACAGAGACAGGAAGACCGAGAGUUCAGUACCAGUUUGGGCUAUGUGAAACUUGUCAUAAAACAAACAGACAGACAUACAAACAUAUAGCAAUAAAUACAAAGAGCCUUAGCUUUCCUGGAAUUUCAGUGCUGAUAGAAUGCAAAAUGGUACAGCCACUUUGUAAUAUAUAUAAAAGGAACAUCCAGACUGAUUUCUGUUUUAUUAUUAUUAAAUUUAUAAUUAAAUAACUUAUUAAAAUAUUAAAUAAAAUUAUAGAGUGUGUGUGUGUGUGUGUGUGUUAUUUUAACAGGGUCUCUAUUCUGUAGCUCUGGCUUUCCUGGAACUCAAUAUUUAGAACAGGCCAGCCUUGAACUCACAGAGAUCCACCUGCAUCUGCCUCCUGUGUGUUGGAAUGAAAGUCUUGCACUACCACACUGGCAUUUUUAUUACUAUUGUGCAUGGCGGGGUGAGGAGAUCACCAGCCCCUAACAAUGGCUCCGGACAGUUUCUUACAGUGUUAUACACUUACUUAUGAGGCCCAGUGUUUCCACUUACUCCUUGUAAACCUUGGAGAAUGGAGACAUUCAAUAUUUACGGGUGGAAAUCACACACACAUAUAUGAG